rnacentral:rRNA from 1 species
UACGAGGGGUGCAAGCGUUGCUCGGAAUUAUUGGGCGUAAAGGGUAGGUAGGUGGUCUCAUUUGUCUGGGGUGAAAGCCUUGAGCUUAACUCAAGGAGUGCCCCAGAAACGGUGAGACUGGAGUCUUGGAGAGGGUCGUGGAAUUCCCGGUGUAGCGGUGAAAUGCGUAGAGAUCCGGAGGAACACCGACGGCGCAGGCAGCGUCCUGGCCGCUUGCUGACACUGAGGCACGAAAGCUGGGGGAGCAAACAGG